rnacentral:rRNA from 1 species
GUACGGCCGCAAGGUUAAAACUCAAAUGAAUUGACGGGGGCCCGCACAAGCGGUGGAGCAUGUGGUUUAAUUCGAUGCAACGCGAAGAACCUUACCUGGUCUUGACAUCCACAGAACUUUCCAGAGAUGGAUUGGUGCCUUCGGGAACUGUGAGACAGGUGCUGCAUGGCUGUCGUCAGCUCGUGUUGUGAAAUGUUGGGUUAAGUCCCGCAACGAGCGCAACCCUUAUCCUUUGUUGCCAGCGGUCCGGCCGGGAACUCA